rnacentral:rRNA from 1 species
UGCCAGCAGCCGCGGUAAUACGGAGGGGGCUAGCGUUGUUCGGAAUUACUGGGCGUAAAGCGCACGUAGGCGGAUUGAUCAGUUGGGGGUGAAAUCCCGGGGCUCAACCCCGGAACUGCCUUCAAUACUGUCAGUCUAGAGAUCAUGAGAGGUGAGUGGAAUUCCGAGUGUAGAGGUGAAAUUCGUAGAUAUUCGGAGGAACACCAGUGGCGAAGGCGGCUCACUGGCUCGAUACUGACGCUGAGGUGCGAAAGCGUGGGGAGCAAACAGGAUUAGAUA